UUGUGACUGACACAUUAUUGCUUUCCAGGAAGUGGUAGGGAUGACAAAAAAGCAUAUUCCAACAGGGCUUUGGAGAGGAUAAAGUCCAAGAAGUACUGAAGCCAAGAGUGACUUAAAUUUUUAAGAAUCUUCAUUUUAAAGAUAAGUAGUAGUCCACAUAGGAAUGCAUGGUAUUCAAUGAUGAUUUCCUACUUUUAUUCAAGGGAUAGGAACAUGCUAUUGUGAUCAGAAAGAAAAGUCAAACAAAAAGAAGAGGCCAAAGGAAAGGAUAUGGUCAGAAAAAAUCAAACAAAAAGAAGAAGGUGAUAAAGGAAAACAGAUGGUAGUGGUUCCUAUCAAGAUCUUAGAGAAAGAGAAUAUUAAGGGAGACAAAUUGAUAUCCAACUAAUCAGAAGCUGGAUGUAGUUGAAGGACUUCUUGUUCUAAUUUAUCUGGCUGUGUCUUCACUGAGCAGCAGUAUGCUGAUUGUUUUACCUGUGGUAGCUACAAAAAUCUCGUAAAAUAUAGAGCAGGAUGCCUAGUGGAAACUGAGGCUGAGAAAGAUACAACAACUUGUUGAAUAUCACAGAAAGAAUUUGUGAUUAAAGAUUCACAUACAGCCCUCUUCAUGAUUGCAGAAUCUCAGCUUUCAACUACACUGAUUCUCCACAGUGAUGCAUUUCUUGUUGUAAUUUAAUACAAGGAGAACAUGGAAUGGAAAAAAUCUGACCAGCAUUGCAUAAUAUGAUAAAAAUAACUCAUGAUUAAUUUAAAA